CUACGGAGGGUGCGAGCGUUGUUCGGAAUUACUGGGCGUAAAGGGCGCGCAGGCGGCUUGAUAAGUCAGAUGUGAAAGCCCACGGCUCAACCGUGGAAGUGCAUCUGAAACUGUCUGGCUUGAGUACUGGAGAGGAAAGUGGAAUUCCUGGUGUAGAGGUGAAAUUCGUAGAUAUCAGGAGGAACACCGGUGGCGAAGGCGACUUUCUGGACAGAUACUGACGCUCAGGCGCGAAAGCGUGGGGAGCAAACAGGAUUAGAAACCCCGGUAGUCC
rnacentral:rRNA from 1 species